GAUGAACGCUGGCGGCGUGCCUAAUACAUGCAAGUCGAGCGAACGGACGAGAAGCUUGCUUCUCUGAUGUUAGCGGCGGACGGGUGAGUAACACGUGGAUAACCUACCUAUAAGACUGGGAUAACUUCGGGAAACCGGAGCUAAUACCGGAUAAUAUUUUGAACCGCAUGGUUCAAAAGUGAAAGACGGUCUUGCUGUCACUUAUAGAUGGAUCCGCGCUGCAUUAGCUAGUUGGUAAGGUAACGGCUUACCAAGGCAACGAUGCAUAGCCGACCUGAGCGGGUGAUCGGCCACACUGGAACUGAGACACGGUCCAGACUCCUACGGGGGGCAGCGGUAGGGAAUCUUCCGCAAUGGGCGAAAGCCUGACGGAGCAACGCCGCGUGAGUGAUGAAGGUCUUCGGAUCGUAAAACUCUGUUAUUAGGGAAGAACAUAUGUGUAAGUAACUGUGCACAUCUUGACGGUACCUAAUCAGAAAGCCACGGCUAACUACGUG
rnacentral:rRNA from 1 species